UAAAAAUUAGUUAACUUAUAAUAUUAAAAUGUCAUUUUAAAGUAACUAGUGAAUUAGUAUUUUUGA
rnacentral:tRNA from 1 species